rnacentral:rRNA from 1 species
CCUACGGGUGGCAGCAGUGGGGAAUAUUGGGCAAUGGGCGAAAGCCUGACCCAGCAACGCCGCGUGAAGGAAGAAGGCUUUCGGGUUGUAAACUUCUUUUGACAGGGAAGAGCAGAAGACGGUACCUGUCGAAUAAGCCACGGCUAACUACGUGCCAGCAGCCGCGGUAAUACGUAGGUGGCAAGCGUUGUCCGGAUUUAUUGGGUGUAAAGGGUGCGUAGACGGGGAAGCAAGUUAGUUGUGAAAUCCCUCGGCGUAACUGAGGAACUGCAACUAAAACUACUUCCCUUGAGUACUGGAGAGGAAAGUGGAAUUGCUGGUGUAGCGGUGAAAUGCGUAGAUAUUAGGAAGAACACCGGUGGCGAAGGCGACUUUCUGGACAGUAACUGACGUUGAGGCACGAAAGUGUGGGGAGCAAACAGGAUUAGAUACCCUGGUAGUC